CAGCUUGGCUGUGCUCUGAAUUAACCUGCAUAACAGAGACUUGUUGAGUUUGCAGCUCUUUAAGGUGCAUAUUAACACCAGGAGGAAGGCAAGGAGACACCCUGAGAGAAGGUCAAUUUGUGGCUGCUCAAAUCAGCAGGGCUCCUGGAGAAACUUGGCUGGAGAAGCCAGCUCUGGGCCCUUUGGGUGAGAAGCAAGAGAGGAAAGUCCAGUCUGUGGAGGAGGGGAGGCCCCAGUGCUUCUUGGGGGCAGCUUCUGCAGUCUGGCUAACCUGUGAGAACCCUGAAAGUGCAGCUGGGAGGGACUUCCUCCCGAAGUGGAGCUGCAACAGAAAGAGAAUUAAGGAGAGAUGGGUAAUGUGCCAACAUCAUAACAAGGUUCAAGGGAGGCACAUCUCAUACGAGUGUGAAAAGGCAAUCAUCAUGCUUAUGAACUACAAGAUUAUCCUAUAUAUUCAUUUUCAAUUAUUUUAUCCUCCUCUGCCUCUUGCCCUGGACUAUAUAAGACCUGCAAUAUAAUGUUGAAUAAGGAAGGUGAAAACGAACAUCAUUGCAUCACUCCUGAUAUCAAAGCAUGGUGAAUUAUAUUAAUUUUUGGAUAUUAAACCAACCUAAAGUUCCUGGUCAUGAAGCAUUAUCCUUUUUAUAUAUUAUUGUAUUUGAUUUGCCUAAGAUGUCUGCUAUUAUUUGUGAGUAUUUUUGUUAUUCCAUUUUAUUACUUUUGUUGACCUAUUUGUUAUAAUUUUUUGUUUUGUCAUUUUAGUGUUUUCUUAAGGAUUUAUAGUAUACAUUUCUAACUUAUUGCAGUCUAACUGAAGGAUAGGAGAGAGUCAUAUGAAAGACAGAAAGAACUUCAAAAAUCUGCAGAGGGUUUUCUUUAAAUAUUCAUCUGGAUACUACUAAGAGUAUACAUUUGAGGAAACUACCUGUGGCCAGGGAAAGAAAUACCUGAAAAGAUGAGAUGCGGCAAUCUAUGGCUCUCAUACUUGACUGAUGUGGUGACUAUUCCCACUAUACAAAGUGGAAACCAUAAUUCAUAGAGCAUCAGGGACAGAAUCCAGAAGUGUUUUGCCUUGGUAGUGGAGAACAUUCACCCUAGAAUAAAUGCUACUCUAGUCUUAUCUAACAAAGCUGAAAAGCAAGCUUCAAAAAGGUCAACCUGUUUUCAAAUAUUUUAACUGCAUCUCAGAAAAAAUCUAAGGAAUACUUAUAGGAAUACAAAAAUAUCCAGCACCUAAACAGGAUAAAAUUUAUAAUGCUUGGCAUCCCAUAAAAAAACAACUGUGUAAAGAAGCAUUAAAAUUAUACCCAUAAUGGGGAGAAAAAUCAAUAAAAAUUGAUCCAGAUGGUAGAAUUAGUACAAAAGGGCAUAAUAACACUUAUUAUAACUAUAUUCCAUAUGUUCAAAAAGCUAAAAGAAAUAUUAUGCUAUGUAAAGUAGAGGCAUAAAAGAUAUAACAAUAGACUCAAUUUGAACUUCAAGAGAUGAAAACUGCAAUGUUUGAGAUAAAAAAUACACUGAAUAAAAUUAUGGUAGCUUAGACAUUGUACAAGAAAAUAUUAGGAAACCUGAAUACAUAGCAGGAGUUUCUGCCAUUGCUAUGAAAUUAUUUAUUUUUCCUUGCUGCAAAUUUUGCAUUUUACAUUUUGAGGCCAUGUUAUGAGGUGGAUACACAGGUAAAUAAAAUACAGAAAUACAAUAAGACUAAAAAAAUAAAAAGAGAGAAUUAGUGAGCUGUGGUAUGAGUGAACCCUAACUCCCCUGGUCUCCUCUGACUCUUGAUCUAUCCCCUCAAUUCAGAGAUCACUGGACUCCUCCUGGGUUUCCCUCCUUGCACCACAGCCUGGAAACUCUCUUUAGGCAAUGAACCAAGGGCAGCUGUAGAGUUCACUUAUCUCCUUUAUUUCCCAUCUCUCAGAAAUCACUGUUCUUUUUUGCUUAAUGUCUAAAGUUUUAAGAAACAUUGUUUCACAAACAGGAAAGUAAAAUUUUCUUAAAAUUCUUAGUUAUUUUCGGUAGGAGGGUAUAUCUGGUACUGGUUACUCUACCUUGGCUCCAAGAGGCUGUGAGGUAUGGUAUUUUUAUAUAUUUCAAUUAGUUUAGGUUUAUUAAGUAUAUUUUUCAAAUCUUCUAUAUCCUUUGUGUUAUUUCUAUGUGCCUACUCUGUUACUGGGAAAAAUAUAUGAAAUUAUUUUUCCUUGCUCCAAAUUUUGCAUUUUACAUUUUGAGGCCAUGUUAUGAGGUGGAUACACAGAUAAAAUUUUUAUA
rnacentral:lncRNA from 1 species